rnacentral:tRNA from 2 species
CAUUAGGUGACUGAAAGUAAGUAAUGGUCUCUUAAACCAACAAAUAGUAGUUUAACACCUACUUCUAAUGG